rnacentral:precursor_RNA from 1 species
CGGGGUUUUGAGGGCGAGAUGAGUUUAUUUUUUAUCCAACUGGCCCUCAAAGUCCCGCU